CUAUUAACAUCAUAAGCCAAAUUUCCGACGAAAAGCUUGGCUUCUUCCGAUGGCUCCGGGAACUCAGCUCUUUCGCUCACAGCUCCUUCGCUCACAUCUCCUUCGCUCUCAUCUCCUUCGCUCACAUCUCCUUCGCUCGCAUCUCCUUCGCUCUCAUCUCCUUCGCUCACAUCUUGUGACUCUAAACUGUUCUCGGUCUCCUCAACAGCGACGCUUCCUUCUCCACCUUCUUCAGCCCAAUCCGAAGUCUGGGCAACGAAGGAGACAAAGGGGGAUUUUUUAAGGUGGGUUUUGGUUUUAAGAGAUAGAGAGACGCGAGAGAAAGAGAGGGGCAGGUUAAUGCGUCCGGUAAGGAGGGAAACACUGGAGCUGCGAAUUCUGGAGGAAGAGAUGGUAGAGGAGAUGGAAGGAUGGGAGAAAAUGGUAGAAGAGGAAGAAUCGGCCAUGGCUAAAGGCUUCAAGCUAGAGGUAACUAUAGAAGAAGCCAUUGCUGAAUUGUGAGAGAUAGAAGAAGUGGAAGUGGAAGGAGAAGAGAAAAGAAGAGGAAGGGAAGGGUUUUAGAACGGU
rnacentral:lncRNA from 1 species